CAGCCGCCGCGGGAAAACGAAGGGGGCUAGCGUUGUUCGGAUUUACUGGGCGUAAAGGGCGCGUAGGCGGACUGAUAAGUCAGGGGUGAAAUCCCAAGGCUCAACCUUGGAACUGCCUUUGAUACUGUUUGUCUUGAGUUCGAGAGAGGUAAGUGGAACUGCGAGUGUAGAGGUGAAAUUCGUAGAUAUUCGCAAGAACACCAGUGGCGAAGGCGGCUUACUGGCUCGAAACUGACGCUGAGGCGCGAAAGCGUGGGGAGCAAACAGGAUUAGAUACCCCAGUAGUCCCUGUCUCUUAUAC
rnacentral:rRNA from 1 species